rnacentral:rRNA from 1 species
GGUCAAGUUAUUAAGGGUGCAGGGCGGAUGCCUUGGCACUAGGAGCCGAUGAAGGACGUGAUAAGCUGCGAUAAGCUUCGGGGAGUUGCACGUAAACUUUGAUCCGAAGAUUUCCGAAUGAGGAAACUCACUUAGAGUAAUGUCUAAGUAUCAUUAAGUGAAUACAUAGCUUAAUGAGGGGAACUCAGGGAACUGAAACAUCUAAGUACCUGAAGGAAGAGAAAGAAAUUCGAUUCCGUAAGUAGCGGCGAGCGAACGCGGAUUAGCCCAAACCAAUAAAGUUUUCUUUAUUGGGGUUGCGGACAUAUCAUAACGAAGAGGUAUCGUAAUUGAAGAGGUUUGGAAAGACCCACCACAGAAGGUAAUAGUCCUGUAUGUUAAACGAGAAGACUUUAGAUAUGAUCCAGAGUACCACGGGACACGUGAAACCCUGUGGGAAGCAGGAGGGACCACCCUCCAAGGCUAAAUACUACCUAGUGACCGAUAGCGUAUAGUACCGUGAGGGAAAGGUGAAAAGAACCCCGGGAGGGGAGUGAAAUAGAACCUGAAACCCUGCACUUACAAGCUGUGGAAGCACAUUUCUUGUGUGACCGCGUACUUUUUGUAGAACGGGCCAACGAGUUACGUUAAGUAGCAAGGUUAAGCACUUAAGGUGCGGAGCCGUAGCGAAAGCGAGUUUUAACUGAGCGUUCAGUUACUUGACGUAGACCCGAAACCGGGCGACCUACCCAUGAGCAGGAUGAAGCGAAAGUAAAAUUUCGUGGAGGUCCGAACCCACGAGCGUUGAAAAGCUCGGGGAUGACUUGUGGGUAGCGGUGAAAUUCCAAUCGAGCCCGGAGAUAGCUGGUUCUCCCCGAAAUAGCUUUAGGGCUAGCCUCAAGGUGAGAGAUACGGAGGUAGAGCACUGAAUGUCCUAGGGGGUAUUGCACCUACCGAAGACUAUCAAACUCCGAAUGCCGUCAUCUUAUACUUGGGAGUCAGACUGUGGGUGAUAAGAUUCAUAGUCGAAAGGGCAACAGCCCAGAUCGUCAGCUAAGGUCCCUAAAUGUAAGUUAAGUGGUAAAGGAUGUGGGAUUGCACAGACAACCAGGAUGUUGGCUUAGAAGCAGCCACUCAUUCAAAGAGUGCGUAAUAGCUCACUGGUCGAGUGAUCCUGCGCCGAAGAUUUCCGGGGCUAAAACUUACUACCGAAGCUACGGCAUCAGUAAUGAUGGGUAGGGGAGCUUCC